AGUUCUAUGGUGUAGUGGUUAGCACUUUGGACUUUGAAUCCAAUGACCUAGGUUCGACUCCAGGUGGAACCU